rnacentral:rRNA from 1 species
UACGUAGGGUGCAAGCGUUAUCCGGAAUUAUUGGGCGUAAAGAGCUCGUAGGCGGUUUGUCGCGUCUGCUGUGAAAACCCUGGGCUCAACCCAGGGCCGGCAUCCGCGACUGCCGGGCUGGAGUACGGGAGGGGAGAGCGGAAUUCCUGGUGUAGCGGUGAAAUGCGUAGAUAUCAGGAGGAACACCGGUGGCGAAGGCGGCUCUCUGGACCGUAACUGACGCUGAGACGCGAAAGCUAGGGGAGCAAACAGG